AUUCAUGUCUCCAUCGAUAACAUCGUAACCUCUGACUUCUUUUUGUAUUAUCGCGUUGUUUAGUGGACACCGCUACUUGAGGCCGGACUUCGUGCGAAGUGCUGAAAACAAGUGUCAUUUCAAUCGUUGGACGAUAUACGUUAACUGUGAAUAAUGUGUGCAAAGUGAAUUUAUAUUGUGAUUAUCAGUCGUUGAUGAUGGAAUUUUACAUACAGUAGCGAGCUGAUAACUAUUUUCCUGGCGAAUGAAAAAUAAUCUAAUUACUUCAAGAGAAGUACCUUAAGCAGCGGAGGUGUUUAUUCGGAGAGGCGCGAGGCUGCCGAGGUGGCUGAGUCAGCAGCAAGCAUGAUGUCAUAUGGCAUGCGGAUAAUUGGAGCGUCCCGGCGCACGUCACAUCCCAUUCCCGCCGCAUACUUCACCCAAUCGAGCGAUGACAAAUCCAUUCAUAUUACCCACUCUAUUGUGCGUUACAGCUCUGUUUAGAAUUAAUUUAUCCUACACUGUAUUUGCCUUAUUUGUAUGUUAUUAUGUGAUAUAUUUACCUUAAGCGAAUUGUACGAAAUACGUGAAUCUAGAAACGAAGACUACGUCGAUAUUCGAAGAACCAGAAGAAUCGAAGAUAAAGAAGAAAAUAAGAUUUACGAAACUGGUUUUCAUAAUGGUUUGACAGAUUGUUCUAUAUUCUGAGAUCAUUGUGAAAGCUGAUUUUGUUCCUAAAUCGAUUCAUUUAUGUCGUCGGGAAUCAACGCAGCGCGAACACUUGAAGAUAGACACCACAUCGAGCUAUGUACACCAGACUUCAGUUCACACGUUUGAUACAUUAAAAUGCACUUGUAUACAUAAUAGUUGAACUAAUUGACGUUGCAGAGGGCACGAUCAAUUAGUUCGAUUAAUGUGUAUUUUUAACGCUAUUUUAAUGAUAAAUGUUGUUUAUAUACCAUUAAUUACUAUUACAUGUAUAUUUCCUAUUAUAGCUGAGUAAAUAUUAUUUUUUACGUGAUUGUCUCGUAAAAUGUUUUUUGGGUGCAUGUCUAUUUGUUAACUUUAUUUAAUUCAACAUAAACUACAUUUUUUCAGAGAUCCUAUUGGUUUCUUUUGAAUAACGUGAAUGUAUAUUUCAUUAUUUGUUUACCUGUACUUGAUUUUUAUGUCUUUUUUGUAUUUCUGAUGCACGUGUACUAAUAAAAAUUUACUUACAGUUUACAACAAAAAUCAAAUGUAGCUGUGUUUUUUUUCUAGACGAGUGUGCUCUUAUUAAAGUUCCGAAACAACUUUACGUGAACGAAAUAUAAAAAGAAACGAUUUUAUCACCAACAUAUUUCUAA